UACAGAGGGUGCGAGCGUUGUCCGGAAUCACUGGGCGUAAAGGGCGCGUAGGCGGCUUCGGUUAAGUAGGGGGUGAAAUCUCACGGCUCAACUGUGAGGCUGCCUUCUAGACUGUCGGGCUUGAGCACAGUAGAGGCUGGUGGAAUUCCCGGUGUAGCGGUGGAAUGCGUAGAGAUCGGGAAAGAACAUCGGUGGCGAAGGCGGCCUGCUGGGCUGUGCUGACGCUGAGGCGCG
rnacentral:rRNA from 1 species